GAUGCCUUGGCACUAGGAGCCGAAGAAGGACGUGACAAACGACGAUAUGCCUUGGGUAGCUGUAAGUAAGCGAUGAUCCAGGGAUUUCCGAAUGGGGGAACCCAACAGGUACUACCUGUUACCCGCAUCUGUUAAGGAUGUGAGGAGGAAGACGCAGUGAACUGAAACAUCUAAGUAGCUGCAGGAAGAGAAAGCAAAAGCGAUUGCCUUAGUAGCGGCGAGCGAAACGGCAGGAGGGCAAACCGAAGAGUUUACUCUUCGGGGUUGUAGGACUGCAAUGUGGACUCAAAGAUUAUAGAAGAAUGGUUUGGGAAAAUCAGCCAAAGAGAGUGAUA
rnacentral:rRNA from 1 species